rnacentral:rRNA from 1 species
AGCAGCCAUUGCGGUAAUUCCAGCUCCAAUAGCGUAUAUUAAAGUUGCUGCGGUUAAAAGCUCGUAGUUGAAUUUCGGAAUUGAUGCAUCGGUCGUGCCUUAAGGGGCAUGAACUGGUUAGCCAAUUUCUCACCUUCUGGUGAAUUGUUGAUGUUCUUAAUGGGUGUCUCAAUGAACAGAAUUUUUUACUUUGAAAAA